AGCGACGAGGCGACUCUGAGCUAAUCGUUUAAAAGCGGCCCCAGUUCGGAUUGAAGUCUGCAACUCGACUUCAUGAAGUUGGAAUUGCUAGUAAUCGCGGGUCAGCUAAACCGCGGUGAAUACGUUCUCAAGUCUUGUACUCAGAAAUAAAUGCGCUU
rfam:Candidatus Nomurabacteria bacterium RIFCSPLOWO2_12_FTLL_44_11 rifcsplowo2_12_scaffold_10823, whole genome shotgun sequence.